GUCCCAGUUCUGUAAGAUUAAUGUAUCCACAAAGGAGUGAUAUCACCACAGAUUAAAGGGUUUGUAGGCUUUUCGUUAUUUAUUAGCUUGUUUUUAGUGAAAAACUUCAGGCUGAGUAGUCACGUGUGUCAAAAGAGUGAACUGUCAGUAUAAUUUUCAGAGUAGAAAUGAAAACUAAAAUAAUUCUUUUUCUAUUCUUAAACAUCCUUUUCUUUUCCAGCUUCACAUUGAUUUACUGUGUGUACAUUUGGAUUUAUUAGUCUUGAAUAUGUUCCAAAGGGGAUAAAGAUUUUUUCAACUAACCAUGAAAUAAACUUUCCAGCAAUUUUGGGUAAACACCUUUCAAGAUAAGUUAGUCAAAGUAUAUAAAAAUUUGAUACCAAGUUCUUGAUUUCAGUAUCAUAUAUACUUAGAUAUUCAGUAAACUAUGCCAAGUUAUACUUCUAAUUGAUUCCAGGAUCAAUAGCAGAAGCACCCCAGUGUAUGUAGCUGACAUUAAGCUUUCUCAUUGUAGUGUGAAAACCUGACUGAUAUUUGACUGCUGAGGCAUCUGUUUCAGAUAUCCAUUAGAAUAAACAGCCAGCACCUGAGGACACAGCUACUGGCUGCCAUCAGAUCCUGUAGGAACAACCCUUGAUCCUCAGAGUCCCCCAGUGCUUGUUGCUGAGGUGCCACCUGGGAUUCUAAGAACCACGAGGGCCGGCCCAGUGUCCCUGGAGGUGGGAGUAUGUGUGAGGGCCCACUAUGAGUAAAUGCAAGUGUGGAGCACUUCACAUUCCCAGCCAAGCUCAUCACCAUCAGUGAGCUGAAGGACACAACACAGGCUGAAAGCAGAUGUCCCCGCGGAGGGGUCUUACCACCAGCUGCACAGACUUCUUUCAGAGGUAGAUGGUCUCCUAGUUUUGAUUUUAAAAGUGAAGAAACUGAAGCUCAGAGUGGUGGAAACUUGCCAAGAACACGGGGCAAUCAAGUAGCAGAGCAGCCCUGAAAGUCACCCCCACAACUCCACACAGACCUCAGCCUGGAGCUCCGUCUGCCUGAGAUGAAGCUGCGCACUCCUGCGUUCAUGUCCCUUUAGUAAGGGUGGAUUUCCACACAUCAGACUCAAUUGUGAAGAUAACUGGCUGAAUGGUUACAAUAUCCCAUCAGGUGAACAGACUCUCACCCAAGCUCCUCCAGACGCACCUUGCUGUCCAGGCUCUUCAUGGUCAAGAGAUCCAGUGUCUUCAGGGAGUGGCCUGUCGGGGAGAUGAAGUAGAGGCACACGUGGACACGGGAGUCAUGGUAGUUAAAGAGAGAGCGCUUGAUCUUCAGCUCUUCUUGGAGCAGAGGAAGGCCCAUCACAGCCGACAGGCUUAGUCCUUGCAUGGAUCCAUCCUCCUGCCUGAAGUGCCUGACCCCAAGAGAAAGCACUGCCCAGGGGCUGCUCUGCUUUGGGAAGAACUGACGUGUGGGCAUGUGAGGAGAGGACCCAAGACUACAGACAUUUCCUAUAACCAUCUUGGUGGUAGAAAACUACGCAUUUGUCAAAAUUAAGUUGUACACUUAAACCAAUGCAUCUUAUUUAUUGUAUGUAAAUUUUACUUCAAUAAAACUUAUUUAUAAACAAA